UACAGAGGUCUCAAGCGUUGUUCGGAUUCAUUGGGCGUAAAGGGUGCGUAGGCGGCGCGGUAAGCUGGGUGUGAAAUCUCGGAGCUUAACUCCGAAACUGCAUUCGAUACUGCCGUGCUUGAGGACUGGAGAGGAGACUGGAAUUUACGGUGUAGCGGUGAAAUGCGUAGAUAUCGUAAGGAAGACCAGUGGCGAAGGCGGGUCUCUGGACAGUUCCUGACGCUGAGGCACGAAGGUCAGGGGAGCAAACGGG
rnacentral:rRNA from 1 species